rnacentral:rRNA from 1 species
UACAGAGGUCUCAAGCGUUGUUCGGAUUCAUUGGGCGUAAAGGGCGCGUAGGCGGCGGGGUAAGUCGGGUGUGAAAUCUCAGAGCUCAACUCUGAAACUGCACUCGAUACUGCUCUGCUUGAGGACUGGAGAGGAGACUGGAAUUCACGGUGUAGCAGUGAAAUGCGUAGAUAUCGUGAGGAAGACCAGUGGCGAAGGCGGGUCUCUGGACAGUUCCUGACGCUGAGGCGCGAAGGCCAGGGGGAGCAAACGGG